AACGAACGCUGGCGGCAUGCCUAACACAUGCAAGUCGAACGAAGCCUUCGGGCUUAGUGGCGCACGGGUGCGUAACGCGUGGGAAUCUGCCCUUGGGUUCGGAAUAACAGUUAGAAAUGACUGCUAAUACCGAAUGAUGUCUUCGGACCAAAGAUUUAUCGCCCAAGGAUGAGCCCGCGUCGGAUUAGCUAGUUGGUGAGGUAAAGGCUCACCAAGGCGACGAUCCGUAGCUGGUCUGAGAGGAUGAUCAGCCACACUGGGACUGAGACACGGCCCAGACUCCUACGGGAGGCAGCAGUGGGGAAUUUUGGACAAUGGGGCAACCCUGAUCCAGCAAUGCCGCGUGAGUGAAGAAGGCC
rnacentral:rRNA from 1 species